rnacentral:tRNA from 1 species
GCCGUAGACGCUAAGGAGCGACUGUCUUGUAAGCGGUAGGUCGUCGGUUCGAUCCCGACCUCCGGCU